rnacentral:rRNA from 1 species
UGGGGAUGACGUCAAGUCCUCAUGGCCUUAUGCUUAGGGCUACACACGUGCUACAAUGGGUGGUACAAAGAGAAGCCAACUCGCGAGAGCGCGCCAAUCUCAAAAAGCCAUCCUCAGUUCGGAUUGGAGUCUGCAACUCGACUCCAUGAAGUUGGAAUCGCUAGUAAUCGCGGAUCAGCAUGCCGCGGUGAAUACGUUCCCGGGCCUU